UAUGAAUGAAAGACGCGCGGCUCGCGAACAAAAUGCAGACACGAGCGCAUUCCACCGCACCAGACUGAAGACUGACGGAAAGUGCCGGGCCAAUCGUGGCCCAAAGGCGCGCGCACUAUACUUCCACCGCUAUCGCUAAAGGAAUAACUUGAUGAAGCCAAGCAAGCAUAUCACCAAUAUAUCUUUUGGGAUCAUUUGCAUGCAUUUCAAUAGGAUUAGGUGUACUACCAUAUAUUUCUCCUAAUGUUAAAGCAUCUAUGAAUGAACCCACUAAUACAGUUCUCCUUGCUGCACAAUAUUCAUCUAACACGUAUCUGGAAAAAAAAAAUAAA